rnacentral:rRNA from 1 species
UCAAGCGACUAAGUGUAUGUGGCGGAUGCCUUGGCGAUCACAGGCGAUGAAGGACGUGACAGCCUGCGAAAAGCCGUGGGGAGUUGGCAAAUGAACUUUGAUCCACGGAUGUCCGAAUGGGGGAACCCAGUCUCUUCGGAGACUAUCCCAGUCUGAAUACAUAGGGCUGGGAGGCGAACGCGGUGAACUGAAACAUCUAAGUAACCGCAGGAAAAGAAAUCAACCGAGAUUCCGAAAGUAGCGGCGAGCGAAAUCGGAGGAGCCUAGCGUUUGAUAGCGAUCUCGAUACCGGAACGGUCUGGAAAGUCCGGCUACAGAGGGUGAUAGCCCCGUACGGGAAAUCGAAGUCGUGGUACUAAGGACGCGAAAAGUAGGGCGGGACACGUGACAUCCUGUCUGAAGAUGGGUGGACCAUCAUCCAAGGCUAAAUACUCGUGAUCGACCGAUAGCGAACCAGUACUGUGAAGGAAAGGCGAAAAGAACCCCGGGAGGGGAGUGAAAUAGAUCCUGAAACCGCAUACAUACAAACAGUAGGAGCCUCUUUAUGGGGUGACUGCGUACCUUUUGCAUAAUGGGUCAGCGACUUACGUUUAGCGGCAAGCUUAACCGAUUAGGGGAGGCGCAGCGAAAGCGAGUUCGAACAGAGCGAUUGAGUCGUUAGGCGUAGACCCGAAACCAGAUGAUCUAUCCAUGGCCAGGUUGAAGGUGUGGUAACACACACUGGAGGACCGAACCGACUAGUGUUGCAAAAUUAGCGGAUGAGCUGUGGAUAGGGGUGAAAGGCUUAACAAAUCUGGAGAUAGCUGGUUCUCCCCGAAAACUAUUGAGGUAGUGCCUCGUGUAUUGCUCCAGGGGGUAGAGCACUGUUAUGGCUAGGGGGACAUGGCGUCUUACCAAACCAUGGCAAACUCCGAAUACUUGGAAGUUUGAGCACGGGAGACAGAGCACCGGGUGCUAACGUCCGGACUCAAAAGGGAAACAACCCAGACCGCCGGCUAAGGUCCCUAAUAUUGACUAAGUGGAAAACGAAGUGGGAAGGCUAAGACAGUCAGGAAGUUGGCUUAGAAGCAGCCAUCCUUCAAAGAAAGCGUAAUAGCUCACUGAUCGAGUCUUCCUGCGCGGAAGAUGUAACGGGGCUAAGUCAAUAACCGAAGCCGCGGAUUCACGACUUGUCGUGAGUGGUAGGGGAGCGUUCUGUAAGCCUGCGAAGGCGGUUUGUAAGGACUGCUGGAGGUAUCAGAAGUGCGAAUGCUGACAUGAGUAACGUUAAAGCAGGUGAAAAGCCUGCUCGCCGUAAGCCCAAGGUUUCCUGCUCUACGUUCAUCGGAGCAGGGUGAGUCGGCCCCUAAGGCGAGGCUGAGAAGCGUAGCUGAUGGGAACAAGGUUAAUAUUCCUUGACCGCCGUUGAGUGCGAAGGGGGGACGGAGUGUUGAAGAUCAUCCGGGUGUUGGAUGUCCCGGUUUGUGAACGUAGGAGGCCGGCAGGCAAAUCCGCCGGCAUAUCUCCGAGGUGAAGCAUCGAGGUCCGUAUGGACCGAAGUGAUCGGAUGGGCUCCCAGGAAAAGCCUCUAAGCUCCAGCUCAACGGGACCGUACCGCAAACCGACACUGGUGGGCGAGCUGAAUAUGCUCAGGCGCUUGAGAGAACUCAGGAGAAGGAACUCGGCAAAUUGACACCGUAACUUCGGGAUAAGGUGUGCCUCGGUAGCGUGAAGGAAGAAACAUCCGGAGCGUGAAGAGGUCUCAGAGAAUCGGUGGCUGCGACUGUUUACUAAAAACACAGCACUCUGCAAAGACGAAAGUCGACGUAUAGGGUGUGAUGCCUGCCCGGUGCUGGAAGAUUAAUUGAUGGGGUGCAAGCUCCUGAUCGAAGUCCCAGUAAACGGCGGCCGUAACUAUAACGGUCCUAAGGUAGCGAAAUUCCUUGUCGGGCAAGUUCCGACCUGCACGAAUGG